ACCUGCCUUAGACAUUGGGAUAGCCUCGGGAAACCGGGAUUAAUACCAAAUGAAAUCACAUAUGCACAUGCAUAAAUGAUCAAAGCUCCGGCGGUCUAAGAUGGACUCGCGUCCCAUUAGCUAGUUGGUGAGGUAACGGCCCACCAAGGCGACGAUGGGUAGCCGGCCUGAGAGGGUGAACGGCCACAUUGGAACUGAGAAACGGUCCAAACUCCUACGGGAGGCAGCAGUGGGGAAUAUUGCACAAUGGAGGGAACUCUGAUGCAGCGACGCCGCGUGAACGAAGAAGGCUUUCGAGUCGUAAAGUUCUUUUAUAUGGGAAGAUAAUGACGGUACCAUAAGAAAAAGCCCCGGCUAACUACGUGCCAGCAGCCGCGGUAAUACGUAGGGGGCUAGCGUUGUCCGGAAUCACUGGGCGUAAAGGGUUCGCAGGCGGAAAUGCAAGUCAGGUGUAAAAGGCAGUAGCUUAACUACUGUAAGCAUUUGAAACUGCAUAUCUUGAGAAGAGUAGAGGUAAGUGGAAUUUUUAGUGUAGCGGUGAAAUGCGUAGAUAUUAAAAAGAAUACCGGUGGCGAAGGCGACUUACUGGGCUCAUUCUGACGCUGAGGAACGAAAGCGUGGGUAGCAAACAGGAUUAGAUACCCUGGUAGUCCACGCUGUAAACGAUGAGUGCUAGGUAUCGGAAUAAUUCGGUGCCGCAGUUAACACAUUAAGCACUCCGCCUGGGGAGUACGUGCGCAAGCAUGAAACUCAAAGGAAUUGACGGGGACCCGCACAAGCAGCGGAGCAUGUGGUUUAAUUCGAAGCAACGCGAAGAACCUUACCAGGGCUUGACAUACUGAGGACCGGUAUAGAGAUAUACCCUCUUCUUCGGAAGCCUCAAUACAGGUGGUGCAUGGUUGUCGUCAGCUCGUGUCGUGAGAUGUUCAGUUAAGUCUGGCAACGAGCGCAACCCCUAUCUUUAGUUACCAGCAUUUCGGAUGGGGACUCUAAAGAGACUGCCGAUGAUAAAUCGGAGGAAGGUGGGGAUGACGUCAAAUCAUCAUGCCCUAUAUGCCCUGGGCUACACACGUGCUACAAUGGAAGAUACAAAGGGAAGCGAAAUAGUGAUAUUAAGCAAACCUCAAAAAGUCUUUCCCAGUUCGGAUUGUACUCUGCAACUCGAGUACAUGAAGAUGGAGUUGCUAGUAAUCGCAGA
rnacentral:rRNA from 1 species